GGAGCGAAAGCGUGGGGAGCGAACAGGAUUAGAUACCCUGGUAGUCCACGCCGUAAACGAUGAGUGCUAAGUGUUAGGGGGUUUCCGCCCCUUAGUGCUGCAGCUAACGCAUUAAGCACUCCGCCUGGGGAGUACGGUCGCAAGACUGAAACUCAAAGGAAUUGACGGGGGCCCGCACAAGCCGUGGAGCAUGUGGUUUAAUUCGAAGCAACGCGAAGAACCUUACCAGGUCUUGACAUCCUCUGACAAUCCUAGAGAUAGGACGUCCCCUUCGGGGGCAGAGUGACAGGUGGUGCAUGGUUGUCGUCAGCUCGUGUCGUGAGAUGUUGGGUUAAGUCCCGCAACGAGCGCAACCCUUGAUCUUAGUUGCCAGCAUUCAGUUGGGCACUCUAAGGUGACUGCCGGUGACAAACCGGAGGAAGGUGGGGAUGACGUCAAAUCAUCAUGCCCCUUAUGACCUGGGCUACACACGUGCUACAAUGGACAGAACAAAGGGCAGCGAAACCGCGAGGUUAAGCCAAUCCCACAAAUCUGUUCUCAGUUCGGAUCGCAGUCUGCAACUCGACUGCGUGAAGCUGGAAUCGCUAGUAAUCGCGGAUC
rnacentral:rRNA from 1 species